GGGACGAAAUAUGCGCCUAUCUUCCACUAGGGCUGAAAUUUCCUGUGAUCUUCUCUUCUCAUUCUAAAUUUGGGAAAAAUAAGGAAACCACCAAAACAUUCUUUUCAAGUAUUGUCGACAUUGAAGACCGUUAAUCAUGUUCCUCAUACAUUACAAAUGUUCCUCUAUAUAAACACCAACAUAGGUCAUCAUCUUCCCAUGUUUCAGACGCAUUCUCUCUCAACACUGCUAGGUUUCAACUGUUGUUCUCGGAAAAGAGGUGCCAUCCAUCUUAGACAUUUUUCAGGGACACUUACAAUAAAAAUUUCCAUAGGAGAUGCUUGGGGGCUCUAUUUCUUGCAUGAUGCAGAAUGAUAAGUUACAUAUAGUGACAAUGAAGCUUCUAACAAAGAAACCUCAAGUUCUACUAUGAUCAUUUGUUGGGCUUUCUCAACUGUUGCUGCGGUGGAAGGUGUAAACAAGGUCACUACUAGAGAUCUGAUUCCACUGUGUAAACAAGAGUUUGUGGACUGUGAUACAUCUUACAUCCAAAGAUGUGAUGGAGGUCUUACGGAAUAUGGGUUCCAGUUCAUCAUUAAGAAUGGUGAAAUCGAAACCGAAGAAGAUUACCCGUACAAGGCUAAAGAUGGAAAAUGUGAUACGAACAUCCAAGAACACAAAUGUAUGUGGAUCAAGAAUCUGCAGAGGAACGCAAGUGUUAUCAAUACUUGAAAAAAUGGGAUUAGGAUGUUUGUUUGGAAACGAUACUCUUAGCUUAGAUAGCUGAGAUUGUGAGGUCAUUGGACUGCAGUUUGUGGAAGAGUACAUCUUUCGCUUCAAUAUUUUUUUAUUUCUUCAUUUUUGGCCCAACAGUAAAUAUUUGCUGACUAACCAAAUUGGAUCACUAAACUUACUGCGAAAUGGAUUGAACUAUUUUUUUAGAUAACUGGGAGCAGUAUCCUGUUAAUGAAAUCGUUAGUUUAUCUAUAGUAUA